UCACUUUCCAACAACGGAUCUCUUGGCUCUCGCAUCGAUGAAGAACGUAGCGAAGUGCGAUAAGUAAUGCGAAUUGCAGAAUUCCGUGAGUCAUCGAAACUUUGAACGCAAAUUGCGCUCUCUGGUAUUCCGGGGAGUAUGCCUGUUUGAGGGUCAGU
rnacentral:rRNA from 1 species